AACGAACGCUGGCGGCGUGUUUAAGACACGCAAGUCGCACGGGAUCAUUUUGGUAGCAAUACUCGGAUGGUCCAGUGGCGCACGGGUGAGUAACACGUGAAUGACAUGCCCUUCAGUGGGGGAUAGCCCAGGGAAACUUGGAUUAAUACCCCAUGGUCUCGCGAGAGUAAAGGUGGCGCAAGCUGCCGCUGGAGGAUUGGUUCGCGUUCUAUCAGCUUGUUGGCGGGGUAACGGCCCACCAAGGCUACGACGGAUACCUGGUCUGAGAGGACGAUCAGGCACACUGGAACUGAGACACGGUCCAGACACCUACGGGUGGCAGCAGUCGAGAAUAAUUCACAAUGGGGGCAACCCUGAUGGUGCAACGCCGCGUGGAGGAUGAAGGUCUUCGGAUUGUAAACUCCUGUCAUCCGGGAGCAAGACCUGACGGUGAAUAGCCGGCAGGGUUGAUAGUACCGGAAGAGGAAGGGACGGCUAACUUCGUGCCAGCAGCCGCGGUAA
rnacentral:rRNA from 1 species